rnacentral:rRNA from 1 species
GACGAACGCUGGCGGCGUGCUUAACACAUGCAAGUCGAACGGAAAGGCCCUGCUUUUGUGGGGUGCUCGAGUGGCGAACGGGUGAGUAACACGUGAGUAACCUGCCCUUGACUUUGGGAUAACUUCAGGAAACUGGGGCUAAUACCGGUUAGGAGCUCCUGCUGCAUGGUGGGGGUUGGAAAGUUUCGGCGGUUGGGGAUGGACUCGCGGCUUAUCGGCUUGUUGGUGGGGUAGUGGCUUACCAAGGCUUUGACGGGUAGCCGGCCUGAGAGGGUGACCGGCCACAUUGGGACUGAGAUACGGCCCAGACUCCUACGGGAGGCAGCAGUGGGGAAUAUUGCACAAUGGGCGGAAGCCUGAUGCAGCAACGCCGCGUGCGGGAUGACGGCCUUCGGGUUGUAAACCGCUUUCGCCUGUGACGAAGCGUGAGUGACGGUAAUGGGUAAAGAAGCACCGGCUAACUACGUG